AGAGUUUGAUCCUGGCUCAGGAUGAACGCUAGCUACAGGCUUAACACAUGCAAGUCGAGGGGAAACGACAUCGAAAGCUUGCUUUUGAUGGGCGUCGACCGGCGCACGGGUGAGUAACGCGUAUCCAACCUGCCCACCACUUGGGGAUAACCUUGCGAAAGUAAGACUAAUACCCAAUGACGUCUCUAGAAGACAUCUGAAAGGGAUUAAAGAUUUAUCGGUGAUGGAUGGGGGAUGCGUCUGAUUAGCUUGUUGGCGGGGUAACGGCCCACCAAGGCGACGAUCAGUAGGGGUUCUGAGAGGAAGGUCCCCCACAUUGGAACUGAGACACGGUCCAAACUCCUACGGGAGGCAGCAGUGAGGAAUAUUGGUCAAUGGGCGAGAGCCUGAACCAGCCAAGUAGCGUGCAGGAUGACGGCCCUAUGGGUUGUAAACUGCUUUUAUAAGGGAAUAAAGUGAGUCUCGUGAGACUUUUUGCAUGUACCUUAUGAAUAAGGACCGGCUAAUUCCGUGCCAGCAGCCGCGGUAAUACGGAAGGUCCGGGCGUUAUCCGGAUUUAUUGGGUUUAAAGGGAGCGUAGGCCGGAGAUUAAGCGUGUUGUGAAAUGUAGACGCUCAACGUCUGCACUGCAGCGCGAACUGGUUUCCUUGAGUACGCACAAAGUGGGCGGAAUUCGUGGUGUAGCGGUGAAAUGCUUAGAUAUCACGAAGAACUCCGAUUGCGAAGGCAGCUCACUGGAGCGCAACUGACGCUGAAGCUCGAAAGUGCGGGUAUCGAACAGGAUUAGAUACCCUGGUAGUCCGCACGGUAAACGAUGGAUGCCCGCUGUUGGUCUGAAUAGGUCAGCGGCCAAGCGAAAGCAUUAAGCAUCCCACCUGGGGAGUACGCCGGCAACGGUG
rnacentral:rRNA from 1 species